UGGCCCAUCGCCAAGCGGUAAGGCAACGGUUUUUGGUGCCGUCAUGCGCUGGUUCGAAUCCAGCUGGGCCAGCCA
rnacentral:tRNA from 3 species